GUGCUUAAGUGGAUCUAUUUGUAGAAAAUGAAAAAGUCCAUUUGUUGAAGCUCUCAAACAUGUUUUUAGCAAAGUGCCAACCAACUAACCCCAUAAUUUGUUUGAUUACAUUUCUUUUUCUUUCAGAUCUAACAUGGGGUGGUAAAAUCUGAUCGUUAGCAGAGAUUCCCCGCUGGGAUUAAAGCAGACAGCAUCUAAUCAUCUGCUUUGCAACAUGCAAGAUUUUAAAGCUAGUUCUGUUUUUUUAUGGCACCAGGUCAACGCAAAGUUGAAACAGUCGUCUUUCUGCACGUAUUCAUGCUCCAGGAAAUGAAGAGCUUUGGGAAAAUCAGCUGGGGGUCUCUUACUAGCCUCCCGAAAUCAUGAAGCUUAUCUUGUUUUGUUUUAUGAUGUCAAGUUCAGCUAAUCGGAGCACCCAUCCACCCACUCGCACAUCAACACGCCCCUCACAUGGAUGUCCUUCCGCCAUCCGGAUAUCUGACUGCCACAUGUAAAUUAAGCGCUCCCUUUGGAACCUGUUGCCAUAGAAACUCUCAUUAAGAGCCAAGAGACAUGAAACAUUUGCAUGUAUUCAGACUCCUCUGAGGAUGGUUUGGGUCAGUGUGUGUAUCUUAUCAAUAUGUUCAAUAUUAUUGGUACUCUUGAUCUUCCUAAUUACAUCUGACUAUUCAGAUUGGUACCCAAUAUUUAAAUAUGAAUCAGUCAAGUUGGGUUGCCAUUUAAGACAUGGCAAGCCUCAUACAUGUUCUAUUAAAUGGAAAGUCAUAAAGGUCAGAUGAGAAAGAGAGAAAUUAAAAGAGGGGUAAAGAGAAUGGAUUUUAUUUGUUUUUCUGUGUUAGGGAUUUACAUGGUAAAUGUUAGUCACAAAUGUCAGCCUAAAUCAGUGAACAGAGAAAGAGAGAUAUUACUUAUUUUACCAUUUAUUUUGAGCACAAGUGCACUGCCAAAACAUAUCUAUGGCAGUAUGUGAACUAAUCCAGCAAUUAAACCCCAAAUUAAAAUUAUUUCUUUGUGCCUUUUCAUGGACCACAAAAAAAGAUAUUGGACAAAAUGUUUAAAUUACAAACAAU
ensembl:lncRNA